CCAAAGACCGACUGCGAUCAUGAUUCCCGCUGUCGUACUACUUGUUGUAGCUGCUUUUGCCCUUGGGCCCUGCAGCUUCGCGAAUGGUUUCAGCAUUCCGGCUAUACCUACUGAGGUCGUGAACGGCAAGUGCGUUUACCAAGGCAAGACCCUGGAACCUUUCGUGUGGACCCCGAUGGAUCGCCCCACCUGCGGAUCCUUUGUAUGCAAUGACAAGACCAAGCUCGUCUCCGCCUACUACUGCGACCCAACACGACGCCCUCGUGAAGGAUGCAGGCUCGUCCCUGGUAACCCGGAUGCUUCGUAUCCCGAUUGCUGCCAACAGGAGCAAUGUCCCUAACAGCAAGCAUGCUCCAUGAAAGGCUGUUAAGAACUUCCUUCGAAAUAAAGUGAAUAUUAACCAUC